rnacentral:rRNA from 1 species
UACGGAAGGCAGCAGUGGGGAAUAUUGCACAAUGGGCGCAAGCCUGAUGCAGCCAUGCCGCGUGUAUGAAGAAGGCCUUCGGGUUGUAAAGUACUUUCAGUCGUGAGGAAGGUGUUAAGGUUAAUAACCUUAGCAAUUGACGUUAGCGACAGAAGAAGCACCGGCUAACUCCGUGCCAGCAGCCGCGGUAAUACGGAGGGUGCGAGCGUUAAUCGGAAUUACUGGGCGUAAAGGGCACGCAGGCGGUUAAUUAAGUUGGAUGUGAAAUCCCCGGGCUUAACCUGGGAAUGGCAUUCAAGACUGGUUAGCUAGAGUCUUGUAGAGGGGGUAGAAUUCCAUGUGUAGCGGUGAAAUGCGUAGAGAUGUGGAGGAAUACCGGUGGGCGAAGGCGGGCCCCUGGGACAAAGGACUGACGCUCAUGUGCGAAAGCGUGGGGAGCAAACAGGGAU